rnacentral:rRNA from 1 species
GACGAACGCUGGCGGCGCGCCUAACACAUGCAAGUCGAACGGAGCUGAGAGAAGCUUGCUUUUCUUAGCUUAGUGGCGAACGGGUGAGUAACGCGUGAGUAACCCGCCCUGGAGUGGGGGACAACAGUUGGAAACGACUGCUAAUACCGCAUAAGCCCACGAUCCGGCAUCGGAUUGAGGGAAAAGGAUUUAUUCGCUUCAGGAUGGACUCGCGUCCAAUUAGCUAGUUGGUGAGGUAACGGCCCACCAAGGCGACGAUUGGUAGCCGGACUGAGAGGUUGAACGGCCACAUUGGGACUGAGACACGGCCCAGACUCCUACGGGAGGCAGCAGUGGGGGAUAUUGCACAAUGGGGGAAACCCUGAUGCAGCGACGCCGCGUGGAGGAAGAAGGUUUUCGGAUUGUAAACUCCUGUCGUUAGGGACGAUAAUGACGGUACCUAACAAGAAAGCACCGGCUAACUACGUG